rnacentral:rRNA from 1 species
UGAGGAAUAUUGGACAAUGGGCGCAAGCCUGAUCCAGCCAUGCCGCGUGCAGGAAGAAGCAUCUAUGGUGUGUAAACUGCUUUUGUACGGGAAGAAACACUCCUUCGUGAAGGAGCUUGACGGUACCGUAAGAAUAAGGAUCGGCUAACUCCGUGCCAGCAGCCGCGGUAAUACGGAGGAUCCAAGCGUUAUCCGGAAUCAUUGGGUUUAAAGGGUCCGUAGGCGGUUUAGUAAGUCAGUGGUGAAAGCCCAUCGCUCAACGAUGGAACGGCCAUUGAUACUGCUAGACUUGAAUUAUUAGGAAGUAACUAGAAUAUGUAGUGUAGCGGUGAAAUGCUUAGAUAUUACAGGGAAUACCAGUUGCAAAGGCAGGUUACUACUAAUGGAUUGACGCUGAUGGACAAAAGCGUGAGGAGCAAACA